rfam:Branchiostoma floridae genomic scaffold BRAFLscaffold_167, whole genome shotgun sequence.
CAGGUAGACCUACAUAGGCUGAUUGCGUGCCAGUAUUCACUCGGCGAGCCACGGCCUAGUGGGUUCUUUAUAU